rnacentral:rRNA from 1 species
UACGAACUGUGCGAACGUUAUUCGGAAUCACUGGGCUUAAAGGGUGCGUAGGCGGCUGCCUAAGUCAGGUGUGAAAUCUCUCGGCUCAACCGGAGAAUUGCCGCUGAAACUGGCGUGCUCGAGGGAGGUAGAGGUGCGUGGAACUUCCGGUGGAGCGGUGAAAUGCGUUGAUAUCGGAAGGAACACCUGUGGCGAAAGCGAUGCACUGGACCUCUUCUGACGCUGAGGCGCGAAAGCCAGGGGAGCGAACGGG